GACGAACGCUGGCGGCGUGCUUAACACAUGCAAGUCGAACGGAAAGGCCCUGCUUUUGUGGGGUGCUCGAGUGGCGAACGGGUGAGUAACACGUGAGUAACCUGCCCUUGACUUUGGGAUAACUUCAGGAAACUGGGGCUAAUACCGGAUAGGAGCUCCUGCUGCAUGGUGGGGGUUGGAAAGUUUCGGCGGUUGGGGAUGGACUCGCGGCUUAUCAGCUUGUUGGUGGGGUAGUGGCUUACCAAGGCUUUGACGGGUAGCCGGCCUGAGGGGUGAAUCGGCAUAAUAGGGGCUAAGGUGGGCCGCAGACGCGUGGAUUGUGCAGUAGGGGGAAACAUGACGUAAUAGCGGUGAGUGGGUGAACACAAUCCUGCGAACGUGAUAAUGGGCUUUUGGUGAAAAACCGAUGUAGCCAGUAACGAAGCGUAACUGACGGUAACUAAUAAAGAAGCAAGGGCUAGCUACGUG
rnacentral:rRNA from 1 species